rnacentral:misc_RNA from 1 species
GAUGAAGAACGUAGCGAAAUGCGAUAAGUAAUGUGAAUUGCAGAAUUCAGUGAAUCAUCGAAUCUUUGAACGCACAUUGCGCCCGCCAGUAUUCUGGCGGGCAUGCCUGUCUGAGCGUCAUUUCAACCCUCAUGCCCCUAGGGCGUGGUGUUGGGGAUCGGCCAAAGCCCGCGAGGGACGGCCGGCCCCUAAAUCUAGUGGCGGACCCGUCGUGGCCUCCUCUGCGAAGUAGUGAUAUUCCGCAUCGGAGAGCGAUGAGCCCCUGCCGUUAAACCACCAACUUUCCAAGGUUGACCUCAGAUCAGGUAGGAAUACCCGCUGAACUUAAGCAUAUCAAUAAGCGGAGGA